rnacentral:rRNA from 1 species
CCUACGGGUGGCUGCAGUGGGGAAAAUUGGACAAUGGGCGAAAGCCUGAUCCAGCCAUGCCGCGUGUGUGAAGAAGGCCUUCGGGUUGUAAAGCACUUUCAGUGGGGAAGAAAGCCUUGGGGCUAAUACCCUCGAGGAAGGACAUCACCCACAGAAGAAGCACCGGCUAACUCCGUGCCAGCAGCCGCGGUAAUACGGAGGGUGCGAGCGUUAAUCGGAAUUACUGGGCGUAAAGCGCGCGUAGGCGGUCUGAUAAGCCGGUUGUGAAAGCCCCGGGCUCAACCUGGGAACGGCAUCCGGAACUGUCAGGCUAGAGUGCAGGAGAGGAAGGUAGAAUUCCCGGUGUAGCAGUGAAAUGCGUAGAGAUCGGGAGGAAUACCAGUGGCGAAGGCGGCCUUCUGGACUGACACUGACGCUGAGGUGCGAAAGCGUGGGUAGCAAACAGGAUUAGAUACCCCGGUAGUC